UAGGGAAUAUUGGACAAUGGGCGAAAGCCUGAUCCAGCCAUGCCGCAUGAGUGAAGAAGGCCUUUGGGUUGUAAAGCUCUUUUAGUGAGGAAGAUAAUGACGGUACUCACAGAAGAAGUCCUGGCUAACUCCGUGCCAGCAGCCGCGGUAAUACGGAGAGGGCUAGCGUUAUUCGGAAUUAUUGGGCGUAAAGGGCGCGUAGGCUGGUUAAUAAGUUAAAAGUGAAAUCCCGAGGCUUAACCUUGGAAUUGCUUUUAAAACUAUUAAUCUAGAGAUUGAAAGAGGAUAGAGGAAUUCCUGAUGUAGAGGUAAAAUUCGUAAAUAGUAGGAGGAACACCAGUGGCGAAGGCGUCUAUCUGGUUCAAAUCUGACGCUGAAGCGCGAAGGCGUGGGGAGCAAACA
rnacentral:rRNA from 1 species